rnacentral:rRNA from 1 species
CAGCCGCCGCGGUAAUACGAAGGGGGCUAGCGUUGCUCGGAAUGACUGGGCGUAAAGGGCGCGUAGGCGGCGAUCAAAGUCAGGCGUGAAAUUCCUGGGCUCAACCUGGGGGCUGCGUUUGAUACUUGAUUGCUAGAGUGGGGAAGAGGGUCGUGGAAUUCCCAGUGUAGAGGUGGAAUUCGUAGAUAUUGGGAAGAACACCGGUGGCGAAGGCGGCGACCUGGUCCUUGACUGACGCUGAGGCGCGAAAGCGUGGGGAGCAAACAGGAUUAGAUACCCGCGUAGUCCCUGUCUCUUAUAC